rnacentral:rRNA from 1 species
UCAGGAUGAACGCUGGCGGCGUGCCUAACACAUGCAAGUCGAACGAAGCACUGAGAGUUUGAGAUUUCGGCCAAGAACUUUCUUUGACUUAGUGGCGGACGGGUGAGUAAUGCGUGAGCAACCUGCCUUUCAGAGGGGGACAACAGUUGGAAACGACUGCUAAUACCGCAUGAUACAUUGUUGGGGCAUCCUGAUAAUGUCAAAGAUUUAUCGCUGAAAGAUGGCCUCGCGUCUGAUUAGUUAGUUGCGGGGUAACGGCCCACCAAGACGACGAUGGGUAGCCGACCUGAGAGGGUGAUCGGCCACACUGGAACUGAGACACGGUCCAGACUCCUACGGGAGGCAGCAGUGGGGAAUAUUGGGCAAUGGGCGCAAGCCUGACCCAGCAACGCCGCGUGAAGGAAGAAGGUCUUCGGAUUGUAAACAUCUGUCCUGUGGGACGAAACAAAUGACGGUACCACAGGAGGAAGCCCCGGCUAACUACGUG